UGAUCAAUGAGGUCUUAACGGAAAAUGAUCUCAGGAUUUCUCAUCUUCAUAUGAGGGACUGUUGCUCAUAGAAGCUAAUCACCUGCUGUACAGAAGCCAUGCAAACUAUGGAAAGGCCCACAUGGAGAGGAACUGAUGCCUUUAUCCCUCAGCACCAUCUGACAGACUCCACAUAAAACCAGCACCAAUUUGCCAGCCAUUAGGCUGGCAAUGAUUUCUUGGAUAUGAUACCAAAGGCACAGGCAACA